rnacentral:lncRNA from 1 species
GUAUCCUUCUUUAACCUUUCGGAGUAUUUGGAAGAUAAAAAUUAUGCAAUGAUUUGUUGAGAUGUGGACAUAAUGGUGCUGCUUAAUCAGUUUGCUUCCAAUAUGGCUUCGUAUCCAGAAGCCCUGACUAGUGGAGAUGAGAAAGAUUUCAAAACCUGUCUGCCUACACCUACCAGCAACCUAGGCUUGUGAUCAGAAUGAAUGAUCCCAAGAAACUACUUGACCAAGUGUGUUUUGUUGUCCUGGAUUUGAGAUGUGCGUUCUUCCUCCCUCUGAGACUGUUGAUGUAUGAGUGUGAAGAAGUUACAGAAACAACGCUCAGAUUUUCACGGUAACUUUCCCUCUGCCCACACUGUAGAGUUUCAGAUUGUUCACUG